UACAAUAUUAAUCCUUUCAGGAGCUCUCUGUCACAUGGAGCUAAAGAAUUUCUUGGAAGCAAUAGAAUGGUGUGAGGAAGGCUUGGAUAUUGACCCAAAAGAGAAAAAGUUUGUGGAAAUGAGAGCUAAAGCUGACAAAUUGAAGCGAAUUCAGGAGCGGGAUGCCAGGAAAGCAAAGGUGAUGGAGAGGAAAGAGCAGUGUCAGAAGGAAAUUUUGCUUGCAGCAAUAAAGG